rnacentral:rRNA from 2 species
UGAGGAAUAUUGGACAAUGGGUGAGAGCCUGAUCCAGCCAUCCCGCGUGAAGGACGACGGCCCUAUGGGUUGUAAACUUCUUUUGUAUAGGGAUAAACCUACCCUCGUGAGGGUAGCUGAAGGUACUAUACGAAUAAGCACCGGCUAACUCCGUG